AAGAAGAAGCGAAAAAGAGAGACUAUAAAGCAGACCAAAUGCCCUACUAAGAUGGUGAUCAAGCUAAUAGAUGGCAGAUGGGAGGUUAUUAACUUCAUUGCAGAUAACACCCAUCCGUUGGUUGACAAGCCUUCACUGUCCAAGUAUCUCCGUUCCAACUAAGGCAUCCCCCCAGAAGAGAAUUUUUUGACUCAUCUACACAACAGCAACUUGACAGCAGGGAGAAUGAUGAUGGUGAUGUCAUCAUACUAUGGGUCAGAGUUGAUCGUCCCUUACACGUGCAAAGCCAUACAUAAC
rnacentral:rRNA from 1 species